CAACAAAAACCGGCUUAGCCAACAAUGUGCGUGGCUGGUUUACCGGCGCUAAUUAAAAUUAGGCAUCAGUUAGUGAUCGGGUAUAAAUACCGUACAUACCAAAAACCUAACUGUCUUGUCUCCCCUCCCGACGCUCUCUCUCUCUCUCUCCCUCUCUCUCCCUUUAGAUGCAGCGACAGCCAUCGCCAUCUCCACCUCUAUUAUACCUUUCUCAAUCGACCCUCUCUCUUUAUUUCUCCUUUUCCCUCUCUUAAUCGACCAUCUCUCUUCGUUUCCCCUUUCUCAAUCCACCUCUACUCCUCUAGGGUCUCUCUCUCUCUCUCUCUCCCUCUCUCUCUCUCUCUUAGGGGUCUUUAAUCUCUAUCUCUCUUUUAACAUGUCUAAGGAUGAGAUACGAGGAUCUCUGCAAUUCGAUGUAUGAUAUGGACAUCAUGGAAGCCUUAGCCACUUGCAUCUCAAGCAUUUAAUGGAUCUCUUCAUAAAGCACGAAUAUCUCCUCGAAGAUCUAUAGUUGGUCCACAACAUACAAUGAUUUACUAACAACCAGUUAGCCUUUUCCACAACCAAUCACAUUACCUGUAAGCUUUCUAGGAUAUAUCUCCUCCCAAUGGCAUGUUUUGGUACCUAUCCUAAAUUCCAAGCUAAUUUAAUCUAUAUGUUAAUGAAGAUUGAUAAGGUCAUCACCAUGGACAUGUAUGUUAUCCUCAGAUUUUCAGAUUUUAUAAGUGAGACCCAUGGUUUAGAGGUCUAGACCAUUGUACGAAUGCAACUCACUGUGGAUGAAUGCCAUCUCAAAAAUCUCCUCUGAUGCAACCCACUGUGGGCAAAGGCUGUAUUAUAGGCAGAAUGAUGAGAUUUCUGGCACUUUUUCAUUUUGAUAGACACACACACACACAAGAAAGAUAUCAUAUGAAUGCAUGGUGGAAUGGGCAUUCUCAUUCCUUUGUUAGCAAGGAUACUUACAUGCAUUCUCAUUCCUUUGACAUCCAAAAGGUGUCUGAUAGCUACAUAAAUUAUGUCUCUUUCUUUCUUUUUUUGUUUUGUUUUUAAUGCAUCGAAGGAAUUUCAUUAAAAAGAUAGGCUCGAAUCCAAGGUUACUUCAAACAUGAGGAAUUUUAAUUCAGAAAAAUUUGGUAGCUUUGUGAUUUUCUGAGUUUUGAAUCAAAUCUUAGUACAGAACAUCUUUAAUAUAAUGGAAUAU